rnacentral:sRNA from 1 species
CAGAAAAAAGCUUUAAGUCAUUGUUUAGUUAUUAAAAAAAGUCAUAUUUGAAAAGCAUUUCAAACUACCAUAAUUUCUAACUUUGUAAACUGCUUAACUCAAGUUUUUAUAUUGAUUCAAUAAUCCAAAAAAAUUUGCAAUACAUUAGUUUAGAUUGCUUUGCAGUGCUUUCCAUUUGCAGGUUUAAUUCCAUUUCCAAAUGACUCAAUUAAUACACAGGUAUAUUUGAAACUUGAUUGAACAGUCUUUUUAAAUGUUUAAAAUAUAAUAAAGUUCAUGUAAUUAUUAUGUUUGUAGACGUUUUACGUCAUGAGAUAUUGAAAUUUUAAUUAACUUGAAAUGGAGAUUUUUCUUAUUUAAUAAACAUUAACAAACC